rnacentral:lncRNA from 1 species
UGUUGACGAAAACUUAGCUCUACAAUAAAUACUUAAAACGAGGCUUGUCGAUACUUCCACGGACCUGAAUACUUCUGGGUAUUUGUUCGGCCAGGUCUACUUGGAGGGGCUUUGACUCAGUCGGGGGCUGUAAAGCAGUUACUGGCGCCGACUGCCAGUUUUUAGGGGAGGCAAAUUGGGUCCUAAAUCGAGCCUAAAACUGUCUGGUGUGAAGCCAGCCCAACGAAACUUUAUUUUAAUCUUAAUUAAUGGUUUGAAACGAGCACUCAAAGAUAAUAUCAGGUUUGAAGUGUCUAAUAACCAGAUUUAGAGACUAAUCAAAAACAGACACCGUAUCAAAGUGUCUCUGACCUGUGCUCACGCUGAGGGGAGGAUCUGGAGCGCAGUCAAAGCCCUGCUGGUUUGAACUAAUAUUUUGGUAUUAUUUGUUUGGAGGAACGCCAGCGCAGAGCCGUUAACCUUGGGUGUGUUUUCUCCUUCGGUGAUGUGAUGUGAUUUCGCUCGGCUGGCUGUUUUUUUUUUCUUCUUUUUUUUUACGGCAGAGUUGUUGUGACUCAUCCAUCUCCUGUCAGCGGUGACGAGGAGAGAAAUUUCAUCUCGGUGAAAAAAACCCAUCCUUCAAACCUGUCGGGAGAAACGCUCAUCAGCACAUCCUCGUCUCGCACCUCCCCAACUGUCCCCUUUGUCUUCCUCUCACCUUGUGUCCUCGGCUUUCCCACCUCCUUUCCCCUUCAGUUCUUUGUGUUUCAGUCGAUUAUUUCCCACAUCCUACACUAUGUCCUGAUUUUUAUUUCCUGUUCUGUUUGCAUAGCUUUUCUUUGAUUUGCUUCCCCCUCUUCCUUUCAAUUCCAUUUUGUCGCUUUUCUCAAGGGAAUAAUAACCAUAAAUAAAUCAAACCAUACUUCAAAUAAACACAAGGUACCUGACUGUAAAGACAAGGAUAAGUGCCCAGGCAUAAAGAAAGAUGGACAACAAAAGCCAGAAGUUUGAGGGCUUUUUCUUUCACACAAAUAGAGAGGUCUGUUUAGGCUGAGGCACACCAUGCUAGGCUAGGAUGGACCCUCUGCCUCCCCUCACCAGUCUAUUUUUACAAAGAAAGAGAAGAGAGAAAAAAGCAAUAGAUCUGAGAAGUUAGGGAAACGAUAAAAUAGGCUGAGAGGUCAGUUUAGCCUGAGAUCAUCCACGUCAGAUUAAGCUGUACGCUCGACCUCCACCUGCCUCCUGUUAUUCAUAAGGAAAGAGGGUCUACAAAUAGAUGUAAGAAUGAAGAUAAGGAAGAGAGAGCUGGCAGACGAUGCUUGUUCGGGCUACUCCAGCUGGGUUAGACUGUACGCUUGACCUCCCCCUGCUUCCUGUUCUUUAUAAGGGAAGAGAGAGAGAGUCUCCAAAGAGAUAUAAGAAAGAAAGUAGACUCCCGCUGGGUUAUACAGUGUUGCUGCAUGCUCUACCUCUCUUUAACCUUCAUUAGAAGACAGGAGAAAGACACAGAAGGAGGGAGAGACAGAAAGAGAAACUUGUCUGUACCAGGCCACACUCCUACCUCCCCCAUCUCCCUUUUUUUAUGAGGACAGAUCAGACUGAGACAGAGAGGACAAAACAAGGGGUCUGCUGGACUCUUGUUUCGAGUGAAGUUAGCCACCAAAUGAUUAGGCAGUAAGGGUGUAUGCGCUACCUCUCCUUGACCUUUAUAGGAAGACAAGAGAAAGACAAAGAAGAAGGGAGAGACAAAAAAAGUUAAAGAGAAACUUGUCUGGGAAGCUGUUGAAUCAGGCUGUACACACUACCUUCCCUGUCUCGCCCAAUUUCAUAAGGAUAGAUUAGACUAAGACAAAGGACAAAGACUGGGCUCUUGUGUAAGGUGAAACGAGCCACCAAAUGAUUAGGCGGUGAAGGUGUACACUCUAUCUCUCCCCUACUCUAUUUUUUUUUUGUGAGGGAAGAGAAGACAAAAAGCAAGAAGGAAAGAAAAGGAGUCAAGAGAUGUUGGUAAGGCGACACCAAAAAGGUUGUUUGUAAGUCAUCUUUGGAGCACAGUCAGCCUUUUACCGUGAAAAUAUUUCCUUUUCUGCAGCAGCAUUAGUUUGUCUUCGCCUUGUUUGAUAUUAGAAAGGUUGACAUUUAGGAAAAGGUCAGAGAACCGGUGUUAUCAUAUUAUGUACCUUCACCAGAGAGCCACCAAAGCCAAGCUGACUCGUCCUCUCUCUGGUCGUCCUUCUCCUCUCUGACUGACUGACUAGUCCUCUGAAGGUCACCGCUAGAUUAAUGAGCUGAUCGCUGACAGUGGAAAUGUGUCUGACACCGCUGCCCUGCCGUCUCCUUGUUCCUGUAAUGAUCAUCAUUUUCUCUUAUCUACACGGCUGCUGACUCUCUCACAGCAGGUGAUUCUGAAUCAGUCUGGAGGACAUACCCCCUUAUUUUUCUCUCCACCCUGCUGUCUCUCAUCCCUGUCCAAAGGUGAAAACCUCAUUAUUCAAAAUUUGAGAAUCACAGGGGAUUUGGGGAUCCAGCAUAGUGGGCUGUGGUUGAAGAAAAUAGGGUCUUUUGUGCUCAUAUAAGCGCAGAUGUAAGUUUGACUGAUUUUUUAUAGAAAAAUGAUAAGAUUUAUGGUAAAAAGCCAAUCAGCUGAAACCAAGUUUUAGGCCCCAAAAGAUUCAAGAUGCUGAGAUUUAAAGUGUGGUACUUUCUAAAUUACCUGAGCCAAGAAAAUUGUCACAGUCAUAAAAAAGUUCAGGUAAAGUUGAUAAAAAUGCAAAUGAGAUUCUGAAGAACAAACUUAAAGGAAUAUUCCAGCAUAAAAUUAAUUUAUGGUCAAACACACUAACACAGAGUUAGACACCCCCUCGAGAGAUGAAUGUUGUCGACCGCUUGCUUCUCUGGUUAUACCAACUUUAGUAAUGACCGCACGAUAGCAAUACACAGUGGUCUGAGGAGCCAUAAACAAACCUCAACCAAAACGCCACCCUAUAGCCACAAAUAAUGCUCAGAACAGCACCUAACUUCAUCAACAGGACAUAUAGAGUCACAGCCAUAGUACUAGCCACCAAACAUCUUUUUAACUUUGCCUAAUUUCUUUAGCAAAGAGACUAAACACAACUCACCUGCUCUCUUUUAGCAGUCACUUGUUUGUAGCGAGACCUCAGGACAGUCCAUUACGGACGACAGCGGGGUUUCGCAGCUCAAGGAAGAAUAUUUAUGAUAUUCAGUGAAAAUUGAUACAUUAACUUGAAUGGUUACGAUCAGCUGCGAUCGGAAGAUACAGCCUUUUCGUAGCUGUUCCGGAUGCGGUGGAAAUUCGGAGUAAGUCGCGUCUUAAAACUCAUUUUUAUUCCUUAGCUUUUAGUUCAGCAUGAGAGUUGUGUGAGCUCUGUCCUUUUGGUCUUUUAUGGUUCGAAUCCCUUUGUUUUCUAUCGCUUCUUUGUCUUUUAUGUUUUUGUGUUUUUAUUUCAUUUAUUUUAUUUCAUUUUAAAUGUUCUUUUACCUGCUUUUAUGUCUUUUCUCCUGAUGUUUUAAUGUGUUAAUGUUUUUAAAAUAUAGUAUAAAAACAAAGUGGACUGGACUUGAUUGGCAGUUGGCAAUUGUGGUUCCUCACAUUUUGCCCAUGUGGUAUACAGAAGAUAACCAAAAGUGCGAGUUUGUUUAUUUAUUUAAUUUCAGUUUUUAUGUUUUUUUCUUUUUUUUGUUGGGAGGGGGUCCUGUGCUGUAAAUCCGUCUUCAGGGUCUCUCAGCCCGGUGAGCCGCCACACUGUCAGGAAUCACCGCUAAUUACCGGCAAAGGUAAAUCCCCCCAUAGAAACAGCUUAAAUCAAUUAGCCUGCACUCCGUACGGCUGGGCUCAAUCCUCACCACCUUUCUCACGAUCCUGCAGAACUGUGGGAAGCUGCUCUGAUUGCCCUUCCUCCCCCCCUUGAGCCCCCUCUUCUCUUCUUCCUCCCCCUCCCUCCAUUUCUCAUCCCUUCAUUUUUUG